rnacentral:rRNA from 1 species
UUUAGCCAUAUCACCCCAUUCUAUGAUCCUGUCAGAUCUUACAAGCUAAGCAGGUCUCUACUUGGAUGGGAGAUCUCUGGGGAACAGAUUUAGUAAGAA